rnacentral:lncRNA from 1 species
GUCAGAUGUGGGGAGGAUGGAGUGCUCAGGGAAGAUGAGCACCUCUGAGAGGAUGAAGAUCAGCGUUCAUUCACAAGAUCUGCAUCAUGAACUGAAUAGAUGGGAAAGGAAGAGUUUUCCUCUCUUUAAUUCCGGCUAUGAGAAAUAGACCUAGAGGAGUUUGUUCCUGUUCUGCAUUAUCUGUCCUCAGUUCCAAGUGCCAAUGGUGAUCCCCACCUAACCAAGGGUUCGAGUCAUGGUGACCCUGGAACCAGGAUUCCAGGAGGAAGAAAAUAUUAGAGGGAGAGAGAGAGAGGGAGAGAAGGAAAGAAGGAGAGAAGGAAAGAGGGAGAGAAGGAAAGGCCAGUAUUCUUCGCUGCUACCUCUGGCAUUAUUGCUGCCAAUCUAGCCUCCUGGGUUGUCGCAGUCAUCCACUCCCGAUCUUCCUGACCCCACUCACUCCUGCUCCUGCUCCUGCUGCUGUUGAUGUUCCUGUUGCUGAUGCUUUUUGCUGCUACCUUGUCUUUAGAACACACAAGAUGGGUGUCCCUGGAACUGCUUUCCAGGGCAGCUGGUAAAAGCCUUGGUGUGUUUCCGUUAGGCAGUAAUUAGCCUCCUAACUCCCUGUCCAUGUGGUAGGGGAAGCAAGCUGCUACCUAGUGUUUUACCCCAAGAGUGAAAGGAAAGGAAGGUUACUCUUCCAAGCAGGAAAUAAAAUUGCAAGCAUGGCUCA